AGCACCCGGCAAAUGUGGAAAUGCACGUUGAC
rnacentral:scRNA from 1 species